GACGAACGCUGGCGGCGUGCUUAACACAUGCAAGUCGAACGGAAAGGCCCUGCUUUUGUGGGGUGCUCGAGUGGCGAACGGGUGAGUAACACGUGAGUAACCUGCCCUUGACUUUGGGAUAACUUCAGGAAACUGGGGCUAAUACCGGAUAGGAGCUCCUGCUGCAUGGUGGGGGUUGGAAAGUUUCGGCGGUUGGGGAUGGACUCGCGGCUUAUCAGCUUGUUGGUGGGGUAGUGGCUUACCAAGGCUUUGACGGGUAGCCGGCCUGGGAGGGUGACCGGGCACAUUGGGACUGAGAUAGGGACCAGAAUCCUACGGGAGGCAGUAGUGGGGAAUAUUGCACAAUGGGCGGAAGCCUGAUGCAGCAACGCCGCGUGCGGGAUGACGGCCUUCGGGUUGUAAACCGCUUUCGCCUGUGACGAAGCGUGAGUGACGGUAAUGGGUAAAGAAGCACCGGCUAACUACGUG
rnacentral:rRNA from 1 species